GUUGGCAAUGAUCCUUCAAGCUCACUUUUGUUUGCCCUCAAUGAUGAGGAGAGAUAUCGAAGUUGUGAGCCAUUGAUCUUGUCAUGUCCCAGCUGCUCUAGUACUUUUGAAUGUCCUGCUAUCAUCAGUUCCAUUUGCAUGUCAAUUAGUGAAAAGGCAAUAAGACAGCAAGUAGAGGAAUCUACAUUCAAUUUCUGGCAUAGACUGCGUUGUCCCAAAUGUCCAGAAGAAGGUGAUAUGGGCAGAAUAUCUGCUGCAAUGAUAUCAAACCAGGUGAAAAGGCAAGCGGAAGGGUUUGUUUCUAUGUACUAUAAGGGUUUAAUGAUGUGUGAUGAUGAAACUUGCAAGCAUACCACACGCAGUCUUAACAUGCGGCUGAUUGGUGAUUCGGAAAGAGGAACCGUUUGUCCAAACUAUCCUCGCUGUAAUGGGCGUCUAGUAAGAAAGUACACAGAAGCAGAUCUGUACAAGCAG
rnacentral:misc_RNA from 1 species